rnacentral:rRNA from 1 species
UAGGGAAUCUUCCGCAAUGGACGCAAGUCUGACGGAGCAACGCCGCGUGAGUGAAGAAGGAUUUCGGUUCGUAAAACUCUGUUGUUAGAGAAGAACAGCGCAUAGAGUAACUGUUAUGCGUGUGACGGUAUAUAACCAGAAAGCCACGGCUAACUACGUGCCAGCAGCCGCGGUAAUACGUAGGUGGCAAGCGUUGUCAGGAUUUAUUGGGCGUAAAGCGAGCGCAGGCGGUCAAUUAAGUCUGAUGUGAAAGCCCCCGGCUCAACCGGGUAGAGUCAUUUGAAACUGGUUGCCUUGAGUGCAGAAUAGGAGAUUUGUAUUCCGUGUUUAGCUAUGAAAUGCGUAGAUAUAUGGAGCAACCCCAGUGGCGAAGGCUACUCUCUGGUCUGUAACUGACGCUGAUGCUCGAAAGCGUGGGUAGCACACAGG